AUAUAUUUAAGAGAUUUAACCUGCCCACUGAAAUUUUUUUGAAGGGCCGCGGUAUAUUGACUGUGCGAAGGUAGCAUAAUCAUUAGUCUUUUAAUUGAAGGCUUGUAUGAAUGGUUGAAUGAGGUGAAUUCUGUUUUAUAUUUAUUAAAUUGAAUUUAGAUUUUAAGUAAAAAGACUUAAAUGUUAUUAAGGGACGAGAAGACCCUAUAGAGUUUAAUAAAUGUAUAGAUUAUUUGGGUUAAUAAGUAAUUUAAGUUAUUGUAAAAUUUAUUUAAUUGGGGUGAUUAAAAGAUAAGUGAAACUCUUUUUAAGAUUAAAUAUAAUAAUUAGUUGAAUGAUCCAUUGAUAAUGAUUAAAAGAUUAAAUUACCUUAGGGAUAACAGCAUAAUUUUUUUUAAGAGUUCUUAUUGAAAGGAAAGAUUGUGACCUCGAUGUUGGAUUAAGAUUAGUUAUGGGUGUAGAUGUUCAUAAACUAGGUCUGUUCGACCUUUAAAAUCUUACAUG
rnacentral:rRNA from 1 species